rnacentral:rRNA from 1 species
UACUGGGCGUAAAGAGCUCGUAGGUGGUUUGUCGCGUUGUUCGUGAAAUCUCACGGCUUAACUGUGAGCGUGCGGGCGAUACGGGCAGACUUGAGUACUGCAGGGGAGACUGGAAUUCCUGGUGUAGCGGUGGAAUGCGCAGAUAUCAGGAGGAACACCGGUGGCGAAGGCGGGUCUCUGGGCAGUAACUGACGCUGAGGAGCGAAAGCGUGGGGAGCGAACAGGAUUAGAUACCCUGGUAGUCCACGCCGUAAACGGUGGGUACUAGGUGUGGGUUUCCUUCCUUGGGAUCCGUGCCGUAGCUAACGCAUUAAGUACCCCGCCUGGGGAGUACGGCCGCAAGGCUAAAACUCAAAGAAAUUGACGGGGGCCCGCACAAGCGGCGGAGCAUGUGGAUUAAUUCGAUGCAACGCGAAGAACCUUACCUGGGUUUGACAUGCACAGGACGCCGGCAGAGAUGUCGGUUCCCUUGUGGCCUGUGUGCAGGUGGUGCAUGGCUGUCGUCAGCCCGUGUCGUGAGAUGUUGGGUUAAGUCCCGCAACGAGCGCAACCCUUGUCUCAUGUUGCCAGCGGGUAAUGCCGGGGACUCGUGAGAGACUGCCGGGGUCAACUCGGAGGAAGGUGGGGAUGACGUCAAGUCAUCAUGCCCCUUAUGUCCAGGGCUUCACACAUGCUACAAUGGCCGGUACAAAGGGCUGCGAUGCCGCGAGGUUAAGCGAAUCCUUUUAAAGCCGGUCUCAGUUCGGAUCGGGGUCUGCAACUCGACCCCGUGAAGUCGGAGUCGCUAG